AGAGUUUGAUCCUGGCUCAGGAUGAACGCUGGCGGCGUGCUUAACACAUGCAAGUCGAACGAAGCAUUUAGAACAGAUUAUUUCGGUAUGAAGUUCUUUAUGACUGAGUGGCGGACGGGUGAGUAACGCGUGGGUAACCUGCCUUGUACUGGGGGAUAGCAGCUGGAAACGGCUGGUAAUACCGCAUAAGCGCACAAUGUUGCAUGACAUGGUGUGAGAAACUCCGGUGGUAUAAGAUGGACCCGCGUCUGAUUAGCUAGUUGGUGAGAUAACAGCCCACCAAGGCGACGAUCAGUAGCCGACCUGAGAGGGUGACCGGCCACAUUGGGACUGAGACACGGCCCAGACUCCUACGGGAGGCAGCAGUGGGGAAUAUUGCACAAUGGAGGAAACUCUGAUGCAGCGACGCCGCGUGAGUGAAGAAGUAAUUCGUUAUGUAAAGCUCUAUCAGCAGGGAAGAUAGUGACGGUACCUGACUAAGAAGCUCCGGCUAAAUACGUGCCAGCAGCCGCGGUAAUACGUAUGGAGCAAGCGUUAUCCGGAUUUACUGGGUGUAAAGGGAGUGUAGGUGGCCAUGCAAGUCAGAAGUGAAAAUCCGGGGCUCAACCCCGGAACUGCUUUUGAAACUGUAAGGCUGGAGUGCAGGAGGGGUGAGUGGAAUUCCUAGUGUAGCGGUGAAAUGCGUAGAUAUUAGGAGGAACACCAGUGGCGAAGGCGGCUCACUGGACUGUAACUGACACUGAGGCUCGAAAGCGUGGGGAGCAAAAAGGAUUAGAUACCCUGGUAGUCCACGCCGUAAAC
rnacentral:rRNA from 1 species